UAUUGACCGAGGAUCCGGUAUAGGCCUGGCCUAGGGAAGGCCACUUGUUGUGGUCGGCCAUGAGAGGCUAAACGGGUAUGGGAAUGGGUCGGGUAAAAUAACGGGUCGAACAGAAAUUUUUUUCAGGGCUGCGCCCCGAACCCCACUAGUUGUGGAAAGCUUUACAGUAGCACCCUAACCCUAACCUAGGUCUCGUGAUACCAUGUUAAAAAUAUGAGAGAAUGCUUUAUUAAUUUAUUCCUCAGCUCAAGGCUGGUAUUUAUAAUAAAAGUACAACUGGCUAUCUCCUUGAUUUUAGGAGAAAUAAAAGGAAAUAAUGAUAUGUUUAAAAUAACAAAUUAGGAAACUAAAUAUAUUCCAACA
rnacentral:lncRNA from 1 species